rnacentral:rRNA from 1 species
GCGGGAUGACGGCCUUCGGGUUGUAAACCGCUUUCAGCAGGGAAGAAGCCUUUCGGGGUGACGGUACCUGCAGAAGAAGUACCGGCUAACUACGUGCCAGCAGCCGCGGUAAUACGUAGGGUACAAGCGUUGUCCGGAAUUAUUGGGCGUAAAGAGCUCGUAGGUGGUUGGUCACGUCUGCUGUGGAAACGCAACGCUUAACGUUGCGCGUGCAGUGGGUACGGGCUGACUAGAGUGCAGUAGGGGAGUCUGGAAUUCCUGGUGUAGCGGUGAAAUGCGCAGAUAUCAGGAGGAACACCGGUGGCGAAGGCGGGACUCUGGGCUGUAACUGACACUGAGGAGCGAAAGCAUGGGGAGCGAACAGGAUUAGAUACCCUGGUAGUCCAUGCCGUAAACGUUGGGCACUAGGUGUGGGGGACAUUCCACGUUCUCCGCGCCGUAGCUAACGCAUUAAGUGCCCCGCCUGGGGAGUACGGUCGCAAGGCUAAAACUCAAAGGAAUUGACGGGGGCCCGCACAAGCGGCGGAGCAUGCGGAUUAAUUCGAUGCAACGCGAAGAACCUUACCAAGGCUUGACAUACACCAGACCGUUCUGGAAACAGUUCCUCCCCUUUGGGGUUGGUGUACAGGUGGUGCAUGGUUGUCGUCAGCUCGUGUCGUGAGAUGUUGGGUUAAGUCCCGCAACGAGCGCAACCCUCGUUCUAUGUUGCCAGCACGUGAUGGUGGGAACUCAUAGGAGACUGCCGGGGUCAACUCGGAGGAAGGUGGGGAUGACGUCAAAUCAUCAUGCCCUUUAUGUCUUGGGCUUCACGCAUGCUACAAUGGCUGGUACAGAGAGAUGCGAGACCGCGAGGUUUUAGCGAAUCCCUUAAAGCCAGUCUCAGUUCGGAUCGUAGUCUGCAAUUCGACUACGUGAAGUCGGAGUCGCUAGUAAUCGCAGAUCAGCACG